AUGGGCUUCAAAGUGAAAAGACCCUAACCAAAACCCUAUCAAUUGAUUUUUUGUUUUCUGUCGCUCCCUUUCUCUUGAAACCUCUCUAUUAUUCCCCUCUCACAGACACAGAGCUUUCCAAACCCUAAGCUCGCAUGAAACCUGAACCAAAAAAAAAAGAAAAAAAAUCCUCUCUCUCCAUCUGAAAUUAGCUUCCUAGUCCCUCUCUCUCUUCCUCAAGUCCAUUCAGCUCAUUUUGAAGAUGUUCUUUCAGGAAAGAUGAGUUCGCUCGUAAAGAUGUUUGGUUCAAUUUUCCUUUUUUGGUCUCAAGAAGUCUCAAAAUUCUCUAAACCUGAUAUUAUAUCAAGUAUGUCAUUGUAUAAGCAGUUCUGAGUAAUGUGGCAAGAGAAGUGCUUGGUUUUCACUAUAGUAGCAAACCUAGCAUUAUUAAGCGAAGGGGCAAUCGAUUAAGUUGAUCAAGCACUGCGAGGUUGAUGACCUAUCCCAAUAUUGUAAGGAAGAACAUCUCUUAUCGCUUCGACAAUAGUGGUUUAAGUCAAUUGUUUCCUUUGAUUUAUAAAUAAUCAGUAGUAUUCUAUUGUAUUUCUUUUAGACAUUUUGUUUAGUAUUUUAGAUAUUUGUACACAAUGUAAAGUAUUGGUUAUUAAUUCAAGUUACUAUUGGUUUUAAAAAUUAUAUUAAUCAUUUAUUUUUUAGUUAACUCUUUAUAUACGUAUUCCAUAUAA